rnacentral:rRNA from 1 species
UACGAAGGGUGCAAGCGUUACUCGGAAUUACUGGGCGUAAAGCGUGCGUAGGUGGUUCGUUAAGUCUGUUGUGAAAGCCCCGGGCUCAACCUGGGAAUGGCAAUGGAUACUGGCAAGCUAGAGUGCGGUAGAGGGUAGUGGAAUUCCCGGUGUAGCGGUGAAAUGCGUAGAGAUCGGGAGGAACACCAGUGGCGAAGGCGGCUACCUGGACCAGCACUGACACUGAGGCACGAAAGCGUGGGGAGCAAACAGG